rnacentral:lncRNA from 1 species
CUUAGUUGACUUUAACUAUUAAUUCUUCAUGGGUAGAUGAUCAUGUUGUUGAAGGUGGAUGGCAUCUUAGAUUAGUAUUAAAGUUUAAACUUGCUUCGCCAAAUAAUAGUUAAAGUUAUUGUUGUAAGAAAAUAUUUUGCUUUGGUAGGAUAAGGAAUUUGUGUUUUUUUUUUUGUACAAAUUAGAAGUAACCAUAGCCAUAGAUCACAGAAAAUAAUUUUCAAAUGAUAAAUAUAUUAUUACAUAUAUUCAAGCCAUUUUUCAUUCUUUAAGAAGUCGACUCUAAAUACUUGAGACAUCUCAUAUGUUUAGAAAAU